AGAGAGAGACAUGCGCGCAUAUCAAUAAGCGGAGGAAAAGAAACUAACAAGGAUUCCCCUAGUAACGGCGAGUGAAGCGGGAAGAGCUUAAAUUUGAAAUCUUAAAGGGUUUCCCUUUACGAAUUGUAGUUUAAAGAAGUGUUUUCUGUUGAGGUUUUGGUAAAAGUUCUUUGGAAUAGGACAUCAUAGAGGGUGAGAAUCCCGUAUUUGACCUUUACUUUCAACUUGUGAUACACUUUCAAAGAGUCGGAUUGUUUGGGAAUGCAGUCCAAAAUGGGUGGUACAUUUCAUCUAAAGCUAAAUAUUGGCGAGAGACCGAUAGCGAACAAGUACCGUGAGGGAAAGAUGAAAAGAACUUUGAAAAGAGAGUUAAACAGUACGUGAAAUUGUCAAAAGGGAAGCGUUUGACACCAGUGUUGUUUUUCUGAAAAUCAAUUAAAGAACUGUUUAUGCUAAGUUGUUUAGACUUUAUCAGCUAACUGUUUAGUUUUGAGCUUUUCUUUAAUGCACUUUUCAGUUAACAAGUCAACAUCAAUUUCUUUUGCUGUAAAAAAGCUUGAGGAAGGUGGCUUGAGAUUCGUCUUAAGUGUUUAUAGCCUCUUGCCUAUGCAGUCGGAGAGAUUGAGGUCUGCAGCGUAGAUCCUUCGGGGCUAAAUGCAUUUGUGCUAAGUUAUAGCAUUUUAUAGACAACUUGUUGACUAUGAUUUGUCUUGUAGCUUACUCGCUUAUGUUAUUUUACCUACGCUUAGGAUGUUGAGCGCAUGUCUCUCUCU
rnacentral:rRNA from 1 species